rnacentral:misc_RNA from 1 species
GAUGAAGAACGUAGCGAAAUGCGAUACGUAGUGUGAAUUGCAGAAUUCAGUGAAUCAUCGAAUCUUUGAACGCACAUUGCACCUCUCGGUAUUCCGGGAGGUAUGCCUGUUCGAGCGUCAUUUGUACCCUCAAGCUCUGCUUGGUGUUGGGUGUUUGUUCCGCCUCUGUGUGUGAACUCGCCUCAAAACAAUUGGCAGCCGGCGUACUUGUUUCGGAGCGCAGCACAUUUUGCGAUCCAGAUCAACGUACAGCGGCAUCCAAGAAGCCUUAUUUAACGCUCUUGACCUCGGAUCAGGUAGGGAUACCCGCUGAACUUAAGCAUAUCAAUAACGAGGA